UACGAAGGGUGCUAGCGUUGUUCGGAAUCACUGGGCGUAAAGCGCGCGUAGGCGGCUUUUCAAGUCAGGGGUGAAAUCCCACGGCUCAACCGUGGAAUUGCCUCUGAAACUGGGAAGCUAGAGUAUUGGAGGGGAUAGCGGAAUUCCUAAUGUAGAGGUGAAAUUCGUAGAUAUUAGGAGGAACACCGGUGGCGAAGGCGGCUAUCUGGACAAUUACUGACGCUGAAGUGCGAAAGCGUGGGGAUCAAACAGG
rnacentral:rRNA from 1 species